rnacentral:rRNA from 1 species
GACGAACGCUGGCGGCGCGCCUAACACAUGCAAGUCGAACGGAGUCAAGAGGAGCUUGCUUUUCUUGACUUAGUGGCGAACGGGUGAGUAACGCGUGAGUAACCUGCCCUGGAGUGGGGGACAACAGUUGGAAACGACUGCUAAUACCGCAUAAGCCCACGGAUCCGCAUGGAUCUGCGGGAAAAGGAUUUAUUCGCUUCAGGAUGGACUCGCGUCCAAUUAGCUAGUUGGUGAGGUAACGGCCCACCAAGGCGACGAUUGGUAGCCGGACGGAGAGGUUGAACGGCCACAUUGGGAAUGAGACACGGCCCAGACUCCUACGGGAGGCAGCAGUGGGGGAUAUUGCACAAUGGGGAAACCCUGAUGCAGCGACGCCGCGUGGAGGAAGAAGGUUUUCGGAUUGUAAACUCCUGUCGUCAGGGACGAUAAUGACGGUACCUAAAAAGAAAGCACCGGCUAACUACGUG